AUUGAACGCUGGCGGCAGGCCUAACACAUGCAAGUCGAGCGGAUGAAGGGAGCUUGCUCCUGGAUUCAGCGGCGGACGGGUGAGUAAUGCCUAGGAAUCUGCCUGGUAGUGGGGGAUAACGUCCGGAAACGGGCGCUAAUACCGCAUACGUCCUGAGGGAGAAAGUGGGGGAUCUUCGGACCUCACGCUAUCAGAUGAGCCUAGGUCGGAUUAGCUAGUUGGUGGGGUAAAGGCCUACCAAGGCGACGAUCCGUAACUGGUCUGAGAGGAUGAUCAGUCACACCGGAACUGAGACACGGUCCAGACUCCUACGGGAGGCAGCAGUGGGGAAUAUUGGACAAUGGGCGAAAGCCUGAUCCAGCCAUGCCGCGUGUGUGAAGAAGGUCUUCGGAUUGUAAAGCACUUUAAGUUGGGAGGAAGGGCAGUAAGUUAAUACCUUGCUGCUUUGACGUUACCAACAGAAUAAGCACCGGCUAACUUCGUG
rnacentral:rRNA from 1 species